AUUGUAACCAUGGAGACAGUGAAUGGUGACACACUGUUUCUUCCACCCUGCCAGUGACUGUUGUGAACUGCAAGAUGGACAGCCAGCCAUGGAAAUGUUUAGUUUCCUCUGGGAGGUCAGCCUUGUGCCAUCUCUACUUGCACCAAUCCUGAGGUUAGAAUUCAGUCAUGACUUGAUGCACAGAGGCCGCUACAGCUACUGAUUUCUCCAUUGUACUUAACACUUACUAGCAGAGAAGGAGUUUUCUCCAUCACAUGCUCACAGCCAGUGCCACCUAGCAUUCCCCAUCUACAAGGGGCCUAAAAGCCAUGGGCCUUCCUCAUCGUAGACUGGAACCACUAAGAGGCAAUGGAAACCUUUUCUAUUUGUAACUUAAUUACUUCAGCUAUUUUAUUACAGAAAUCACGAUAACAUAAAAUCUAUGACCCAUGUUGCCCUAACCGAAUCCCUCACAUGGAAUGAAUUUUUGACCCCAGCAUCACAAUGAGGAACCAAGGAGUCUGCGAAUGUUAAAGCAGAGUGAGACAGAGCGCAUCUCUACCAAACAUGGUUAAGAGUUCAGAAGCUGAGGCCACCGACCAGAUGUGACUGACAAAGCAGAAUCCAGGGUCCCCAGUACUCAGCUGUGCUUUUGGUGUUUCUUAUUUGAGUUCCACUGCUCACAGCCUCCCCACCCCGUCCACAUGAACAAUGCGAAAGAUUUAAUCUUAAGGAACAAACUGAACGGUUUAAAGAUGCAUUGAACAAUCCAUUUUUUUAAAGCUCUCUAGUGACAAAGGAUGGAUUGAAGGAAGCAUGUAAUAAAUAUGUGUUCAAGGUGUGCCCUGAUCACAGCCCUAAGUUAAAGACAACUCACCCAGUGCUCAGUGUCCUGGGGCAACCAGUCAGCUGUGACAGUCUCAAUAGACAGAGGUAUAGAAAUACACUGGAUAUUCUUACCUGCGCCCUCUUCCUCUGUCUCUGUCUCUCUCUCUCCCUUCCUCACUCUCUCUUUCUCCCUUCUUCCCUCCCUUCUUCCAUCUUUCCCUCCAGAUAUUAUGGCUGAAUUGCCAGGGUUGAAACUCCUUUUUAAAGGAGCCUAUAAUUUUUCCAUGCCCAAGCUAGCUCACUGGGAGCCAUUAUGCAAAUCUUGAAAUAAGCUAGAAAUUCUCAGAGGUGGUGGAGACCAGAAUAGGGCUGUUGUGACAUUAGAGCUUCUAGGGACGGUUGCCGAGAAAGAGCUUCUAUUAUGUGUCUUGGGGAACAGAAGAACUGAAAAAUCAAAGAGUCAGAGAAGAAGACGCUAUGCUCUCAACUGCCCCAAAUUACUAAGCCUUACUUCAGGCCCCAUUACUUCCAAUAACAUUUGAUUUUUAUGAUGGUCUUUUCUUCUCCCUCUUUCCAUGUGGGCAUACUUAACAUGUGCCCUGAGUUGAGGUGGUUCGUCAGCCUUGCUACUUGGAUCCAUAAAGUUAGACUGUGUGCACACAGCUCAGAAUCUUUCCUUAUCUCUUUCUUUUGCACCCCCUCCCACCUCAUCCCAUCCGUCUAUCAACACUCCUCUCUCACAGAAGGAUCGAAGGAAGGCUAGACCUCAUGCUCUUGUGUCCACUCUGCGUUGGCACAAUGCGCAUGCGCAGAUACAGCGCCUCUGCAGUCUUCCCAUUGGAAAUGUGGGGGCUGAGUAAAGGGAGGAGGGAAGAAGACAAGCAUGCGCAGACAGCAGAUGAUAGCACCACAUACAGAGGACUCACAGACUUUUAAUUCCAUGUCACCUUCUGAGACACAAGCUGGCCUGAAAACUGCGUUGUAUUGCAUGGCCCGAAUUAGCUGCUUGUAAACAAAACCAAAAUAUGGCCAGUGGUGGAAGAUUCUAUUUAGAAUUUAGAAUUGAAUCAAGUUAGGGGAAGUGAGAGUCAUCACACACACACACACACACACACACACACACACACACGCACACACACACACGCACACACA